rnacentral:rRNA from 1 species
CACGUAGGGGGCGAGCGUUGUCCGGAUUUAUUGGGCGUAAAGAGCUCGUAGGCGGCUCAGUAAGUCAGACGUGAAAUCCCCAGGCUCAACCUGGGAACUGCGUCUGAUACUGGAUGGCUUGAAUCCGGGAGAGGGAUGCAGAAUUCCAGGUGUAGCGGUGAAAUGCGUAGAUAUCUGGAGGAAUACCGGUGGCGAAGGCGGCAUCCUGGACCGGCAUUGACGCUGAGGAGCGAAAGCCAGGGGAGCAAACGGG